rnacentral:tRNA from 1 species
GGGCCGGUAGCUCAGUUUGGUAGAGCAUCUGACAGAAAAAUCAUGAUCAAAGGGAUUCGACUGUGAUGAAACUUUUAUCAAGCGAGAGAAAUCAGGUGGUCGCGGGUUCAAAUCCCGUCCGGCUCA